UUGGUAAUAUAUCGAUAUCUCUGUGUUCUCUUCUGUCUGUGUCGUCAACAUUUGAACAUUUUUGAGCGGUCCGCUCUUUCUGACUGUAAACAAAGCCGUUCUCCACCUCCUGUAACCUGAUUGGUUGUGAGGCAGACGCUGCUCCCCCGUGUCGUUCAGGAGCCCAAACAAAGUUAGCGUGCUACAAUAUCGGACAGUAGAAACCAACCAGAAAGUUCGGAAAAUUGUCUGAAUCCUCCUUUGGCCACGACUGCCGACACAAGUAAGAAAACACUCAAACAUAAACAGUCAGCAAGAAAACAGUCAACAAGAAAACAGUCAGCAAGAAAACAGUCAGCAAGAAAACAGUCAACAAGUAAACAGUCAGCAAGAAAACAGUCAACAAAAAAACAGUCAGCAAGAAAACAGUCAACAAGAAAACAGUCAGCAAGAAAACAGUCAACCAUAAACAGUCAGCAAGAAAACAGUCAACCAUAAACAGUCAGCAAGAAAACAGUCAGCAAGAAAACAGUCAACAAGAAAACAGUCAGCAAGAAAACAGUCAGCAAGAAAACAGUCAACAAGAAAACAGUCAACCAUAAACAGUCAGCAAGAAAACAGUCAACAAGAAAACAGUCAGCAAGAAAACAGUCAACAAGAAAACAGUCAACCAUAAACAGUCAACAAGAAAACAGUCAACAAGAAAACAGUCAGCAAGAAAACAGUCAACAAGAAAACAGUCAACCAUAAACAGUCAGCAAGAAAACAGUCAACAAGAAAACAGUCAACAAGAAAACAGUCAGCAAGAAAACAGUCAGCAAGAAAACAGUCAGCAAGAAAACAGUCAACAAGAAAACAGUCAGCAAGAAAACAGUCAGCAAGAAAACAGUCAACAAGAAAACAGUCAACCAUAAACAGUCAGCAAGAAAACAGUCAACAAGAAAACAGUCAACAAGAAAACAGUCAGCAAGAAAACAGUCAGCAAGAAAACAGUCAACAAGAAAACAGUCAACCAUAAACAGUCAACAAGAAAACAGUCAACAAGAAAACAGUCAACAAGAAAACAGUCAACAAGAAAAUGCUGCUCCCCCGUGUCGUUCAGGAGCCCAAACAAAGUUAGCGUGCUACAAUAUCGGACAGUAGAAACCAACCAGAAAGUUCGGAAAAUUGUCUGAAUCCUCCUUUGGCCACGACUGCCGACACAAGCAAGAAAACAAAGUAAAUACCGGAGACUCUGGAGGAAUAACGGGCGCUUAAAACGGAGGUAGACCGGACAAGAGCUAAAAAGCCGGGUCAACAUAAACGAUGGGGGACGCUUGGGGAUCUUGGUGACCCUGUAACCUUUCUGCUGGACAGGUAAACCGCUUUAACAAAGUAAGACAAGUG